rnacentral:ncRNA from 2 species
CAACCAUCAAGAGCGGCUGAGAGAUCUGGCUCGUUGACGCCGCAGCAACCAUCAUCCGGUGGAUUCCCUUCAGGGACUCGACCGGCGAGGGUGCUACCGCCAGAAGCGAUGGAGC